CCUACGGGAGGCAGCAGUGGGGAAUAUUGGACAAUGGGCGCAAGCCUGAUCCAGCCAUACCGCGUGGGUGAAGAAGGCCUUCGGGUUGUAAAGCCCUUUUGUUGGGAAAGAAAUCCAGCUGGCUAAUACCCGGUUGGGAUGACGGUACCCAAAGAAUAAGCACCGGCUAACUACGUGCCAGCAGCCGCGGUAAUACGUAGGGUGCGAGCGUUAAUCGGAAUUACUGGGCGUAAAGCGUGCGCAGGCGGUUAUGUAAGACAGAUGUGAAAUCCCCGGGCUCAACCUGGGAACUGCAUUUGUGACUGCAUGGCUAGAGUACGGUAGAGGGGGAUGGAAUUCCGCGUGUAGCAGUGAAAUGCGUAGAGAUCAGGAGGAACAUCCAUGGCGAAGGCAGCUACCUGGACCAACAUUGACGCUCAUGCACGAAAGCGUGGGGAGCAAACAGGAUUAGAUACCCUGGUAGUCCACGCCCUAAACGAUGUCAACUGGUUGUUGGGAAUUAGUUUUCUCAGUAACGAAGCUAACGCGUUAAGUUCGCCGCCUGGGGAGUACGGUCGCAAGACUGAAACUCAAAUGAAUUGACGGGG
rnacentral:rRNA from 1 species